ensembl:lncRNA
CUCUUCAGUUUCAUUAUACUCUCUCCUCGAGAUUUCACCAACACCUUCCUCUUCCAGAUUCUUCCUCUGCUCCUGACUGUUUUCAUUCCCCUCAACAUUUAGAUCAACAUCCGUUGACAGUAAGCCUUGUUCAAUAAACUCACGCUUAAUACGUUCAUCUUCAGUUUCAUCAUACACUCUUCUUGGGAUUUCAUCAACAGCUUCCUCGUCUUCUUCAGAUUUCUUUAUCUGCUCCUGAUUGUUUUCACUCCUCUCAACAUUUAGAUCAGCAUGCUUUGUUAAUAAGCCCUGGUCAACAAACUCAAUUUUAUCUGCUUCUUCUUCAGUUUCAUCAAUCUCUCUCCUCAAGAUUUCAUCAGCAUGUUCCUCUUCCUAUCAGCUUCCUUGGCCAGUGAGCUUUGUUCAAUGAACUUGCUUUUAAUCAGUUCUUCUUCAGUUUCAUUAUUCUCUCUCCUCAUUAUUUCAACAACUACUUCUUCCUUUUCCUGUUUCUUUCUCUGCUCCUGAUUGUUUUCAUUCCUCUCAACAUUUAGAUCAGCUUCCUUGGCCAGUAAGCCUUGUUCAAUAAACUCAGUUUUAAUCAGUUCUGCUUCAGUUUCAUCAUACACUCUUCUUGGGAUUUCAUCAACACCUUCUUCUUCUUCAUCAGAUUUCCUUCCCUGCUCCUGGCUGUUUUCAUUCUCCUCAACAUUUAGAUCAACAUCCGUUGACAGUAAGCCUUGUUCAAUAAACUCACUUUCAAUCAGUUCUUCUUCAGUUUCAUCAUACUCUCUCCUCGAGAUUUCAUCAACACCUUCUUCUUCUUCUUCUUCUUCUUCAGAUUUCCUUCCCUGCUCCUGACUGUUUUCAUUCCCCUCAACAUUUAGAUCAACAUCCGUUGACAGUAAGCCUUGUUCAAUAAACUUACGCUUAAUACGUUCAUCUUUAGUUUCACCAUACACUCUUCUUGGGAUUUCAUCAACAUCUUCUUCUUCCGGUUUCCUUAUCUGCUCCAGGCUGCUUUCACUAUCCUCAACAUUUAGAUCAGCUUCCUUGGCCAGUGAGCUUUGUUCAAUAAACUCACUUUCAAUCAGUUCUUCUUCAGUUUCAUCAUACACUCUCCUUGAGAUUUCAUCAACACCUUCUUCUUCUUCAGAUUUCCUUCCCUGCUCCUGAUUGUU